rnacentral:tRNA from 1 species
GGACCUUUAGCUCAGUUGGUUAGAGCAGACGGCUCAUAACCGUCCGGUCGCAGGUUCGAAUCCUGCAAGGUCCACCA